GAUGAACGCUAGCUACAGGCUUAACACAUGCAAGCCGCGGGGCAGCAUGAAGGUUGCUUGCAAUCUUUGAUGGCGACCGGCGUACGGGUGAGUAACGCGUAUCCAACCUUCCCUUUGCUAUCGGAUAGCCCGUCGAAAGGCGGAUUAAUACGAUAUGCUCUCCGAAAAAGACAUCUGACUCGGAGGAAAAGCGCGAGCUGGCACUGGAUGGGGAUGCGUCUGAUUAGCUAGUCGGCGGGGUAACGGCCCACCGAGGCGACGAUCAGUAGGGGUUCUGAGAGGAAAGUCCCCCACAUUGGAACUGAGACACGGUCCAAACUCCUACGGGAGGCAGCAGUGAGGAAUAUUGGUCAAUGGGUGAGAGCCUGAACCAGGCCAAGUAGGCGUGCAGGGAGUACGGCCCUAUGGGUUGUAAACUGCUUUUAUGCGGGGAUAAUAGGAAGCACGUGUGCUUUUUUGCAGGUACCGCAUGAAUAAGGACCGGCUAAUUCCGUGCCAGCAGCCGCGGUAAUACGGAAGGUCCUGGUGUUAUCCGGAUUUAUUGGGUUUAAAGGGAGCGUAGGCGGCUAGUUAAGCGUGUUGUGAAAUGUAGUUGCUCAACAUCUGCACUGCAGCGCGAACUGGCUGGCUUGAGUGCGCGGAAGGCAGGCGGAAUUUGUGGUGUAGCGGUGAAAUGCUUAGAUAUCACGAAGAACUCCGAUUGCGAAGGCAGCUUGCCGCAGCGCUACUGACGCUGAAGCUCGAAGGUGCGGGUAUCGAACAGGAUUAGAUACCCUGGUAGUCCGCACAGUAAACGAUGGAUGCCCGCUGUCCGGCAUUAAGUUGGGCGGCCGAGCGAAAGCAUUGAGCAUCCCACCUGGGGAGUACGCCGGCAACGGUGAAACUCAAAGGAAUUGACGGGGGCCCGCACAAGCGGAGGAACAUGUGGUUUAAUUCGAUGAUACGCGAGGAGCCUUACCCGGGCUUGAAUUGCAAGAGAAGGAAGUAGAGAUACUGACGCCCUUCGGGGCUCUUGUGAAGGUGCUGCAUGGUUGUCGUCAGCUCGUGCCGUGAGGUGUCGGCUUAAGUGCCAUAACGAGCGCAACCCCUGUCCUUAGUUACCAUCAGUUUGGCUGGGCACUCUAAGGAUACUGCCUCCGCAAGGAGUGAGGAAGGUGGGGAUGACGUCAAAUCAGCACGGCCCUUACGUCCGGGGCUACACACGUGUUACAAUGGCGCUGACAGAGUGCAGGCGGCCGGCAACGUCCGUCUAAUCACCAAACUGCGCCCCAGUUCGGACCGGGGUCUGCAACCCGACCCCGCGAAGCUGGAUUCGCUAGUAAUCGCGCAUCAGCCAUGGCGCGGUGAAUACGUUCCCGGGCCU
rnacentral:rRNA from 1 species